GACGAACGCUGGCGGCGUGCUUAACACAUGCAAGUCGAACGGAAAGGCCCUGCUUGCAGGGUACUCGAGUGGCGAACGGGUGAGUAACACGUGGGUGAUCUGCCCUGCUCUUCGGGAUAAGCCUGGGGAACUGGGUCUAAUACCGGAUAGGAGCGAUUCUUCGUGUGAUGGUUGGAAAGUUUUUUCGGUGUAGGGUGAGCGCGCGGCCUAUCAGCCUGUUGGUGGGGUGAUUGCCUACCAAGGCGGCGAUGGGUAGCCGGCCUGUGGGGGUGGACGGCCACAUUAGGGCUGGUAAACGGCCUCGUGUACUAACGGUGGCAGCUGUGGGGAAUGUUGCACCAUAGGCGCUAGCCUGAUGCAGCGAAGUCGGGUGGGGGAUUGCGGCCUUCGGGUUGAAAACUCCUUUCGCUAGGGACGCAGCUGUUUGUGACGGUACCUAGAUAAGAAGCACCGGCUAACUACGUG
rnacentral:rRNA from 1 species